UGUUGUGGAUGAUGAGAACAAAUAUGAAAAACAGUUAUCCCUGGCUGAGGAUUUAAUCCCGCUGAUGAUUCAUUUGUAAUCUGACACAACA
rfam:Brassica oleracea var. oleracea cultivar TO1000 chromosome C3, whole genome shotgun sequence